CAAACUGGAGAUGGCGACCGGCGCACGGGUGAGUAACACGUAUCCAACCUGCCGAUAACUCGGGGAUAGCCUUUCGAAAGAAAGAUUAAUACCCGAUGGCAUAAUAGAACCGCAUGGUUUGAUUAUUAAAGAAUUUCGGUUAUCGAUGGGGAUGCGUUCCAUUAGGCAGUUGGUGGGGUAACGGCCCACCAAACCUUCGAUGGAUAGGGGUUCUGAGAGGAAGGUCCCCCACAUUGGAACUGAGACACGGUCCAAACUCCUACGGAGGCAGCAUG
rnacentral:rRNA from 1 species